UUCUCGAUGGCCGAGACAAGGCAUUAAGCUUUUAACUUAAUCACAGUACCAAAACUUCGAGAAC
rnacentral:tRNA from 1 species